GGGGUUGACUGGUUUUGACAGCAUGAUGAAGGGUCAUGUAAGCAUGUCGGGUUUUGCAAGACUAUCCGUAAUAAGUGUUGCAACGUUUUAGUUGGCGAAAACAACUACGCACUCGCAGCUUAAUCCGAAUAAAGUAGGAUGGCUUUAUCGAUGCACUAGGUGUAUUCGACGAGUCCUUUCGCUUUGAAGUACGCUUUACACUUCAGAGAUUUGAGAGGUCAUCGAGUAAAGCUGGGAAAAAUAGAGCUUCGAUGUUUUUCUGAGAUUAAGAAGAUAAGUUCAAAGUUUGGAUGCUUGUAACCGAACUUGAAUCGAAAACCAAAAACAAGAUAAACAUGUAGAAGGCAUCAUUGUUCCAUGUUUGGACGCGGGUUCGAUUCCCGCCAACUCCACAA
rnacentral:tmRNA from 1 species